CGUAGGGUGCGAGCGUUAAUCGGAAUUACUGGGCGUAAAGUGUGCGCAGGCGGCCGCGCAAGUCGAGUGUGAAAGCCCCGGGCUUAACUUGGGAAUUGCGCUCGAAACUACGUGGCUUGAGUGUGGCAGAGGAAGGUGGAAUUCCACGUGUAGCGGUGAAAUGCGUAGAGAUGUGGAGGAACACCGAUGGCGAAGGCAGCCUUCUGGGCCAACACUGACGCUCAUGCACGAAAGCGUGGGGAGCAAACAGGAUUAGAUACCCUGGUAGUCCACGCCCUAAACGAUGAUGACUAGUUGUUGGGGGAGUUAAAUCCCUUAGUAACGCAGCUAACGCGUGAAGUCAUCCGCCUGGGGAGUACGGUCGCAAGAUUA
rnacentral:rRNA from 1 species